GAUGAACGCUGGCGGCGUGCCUAAUACAUGCAAGUUGAGCGCAGGGGGGUGGUGCUUGUAUCUCCGGUGUGAGCGGCGGACGGGUGAGUAACACGUGGGGAACCUGCCUUUGAGCGUGGGAUAACUUCUGGAAACCGAUGCUAAUACCGCAUAAAAAUUUUAACCACAUGUUUCAAGUUUGAAAGAUGGUAUUGCAUUAACUUAUGAAUGUCUCGCCGCUGCAUUAGCUGUUUGGUAAGGUAACGCCUUCCCAAGGCAACGGUGCAAAGCCGACCGGAAAGGGGGAUGGGCAACAUUGGAACUGAGCAACGGCCAAGCCUCCUACGGGAGGCAGCAGUAGGGAAUCUUCGGCAAUGGGCGAAGGCCUGACGGAGCACCGCGGGGUGAGUAAUGAAGGUCUCCGGACCGUAAAACUCUGUUAUUAGGAAAGAACAUAUGUGUAAGUAACUGUGCACAACUUGACGGUAACUAACCAGAAAGCCACGGCUAACUACGUG
rnacentral:rRNA from 1 species